rnacentral:misc_RNA from 1 species
GCAAACUUGGUCAUUUAGAGGAAGUAAAAGUCGUAACAAGGUUUCCGUAGGUGAACCUGCGGAAGGAUCAUUCGAAAGAAAAAAAGAACAAGCACCGUUUUUCGGUGACUUGUUGCCCCCCACUUUUUUUGUGGGAGAGCUUUUUGUGUGUCCACUGUUGGAGGCUCGGCCAAUGAAACCAGUCUUCUUUAGCCUAUUUUUUUUUCUCUAGAGCUGAAAAGCAGCUCGGUCGCCUGAAAAAUAAAAGAAAUUCGUAAACACAACUUUCAACAACGGAUCUCUUGGCUCUCGCAUCGAUGAAGAACGCAGC